rnacentral:rRNA from 1 species
UGGGGAAUUUUGGACAAUGGGCGAAAGCCUGAUCCAGCAAUGCCGCGUGUGUGAAGAAGGCCUUCGGGUUGUAAAGCACUUUUGUCCGGAAAGAAAUCCUUGGCUCUAAUACAGUCGGGGGAUGACGGUACCGGAAGAAUAAGCACCGGCUAACUACGUGCCAGCAGCCGCGGUAAUACGUAGGGUGCAAGCGUUAAUCGGAAUUACUGGGCGUAAAGCGUGCGCAGGCGGUUUGCUAAGACCGAUGUGAAAUCCCCGGGCUCAACCUGGGAACUGCAUUGGUGACUGGCAGGCUAGAGUAUGGCAGAGGGGGGUAGAAUUCCACGUGUAGCAGUGAAAUGCGUAGAGAUGUGGAGGAAUACCGAUGGCGAAGGCAGCCCCCUGGGCCAAUACUGACGCUCAUGCACGAAAGCGUGGGGAGCAAACAGGAUUAGAUACCCUGGUAGUCCACGCCCUAAANGAUGUCAACUAGUUGUUGGGGAUUCAUUUCCUUAGUAACGUAGCUAACGCGUGAAGUUGACCGCCUGGGGAGUAC